AACUUUCGACAACGGAUCACUUGGUUCUGGCAUCGAUGAAGAACGCAGCGAAAUGCGACAAGUAAUGUGAAUUGCAGAAUUCAGUGAAUCAUCGAAUCUUUGAACGCACAUUGCGCCCCUUGGUAUUCCGAGGGGCAUGCCUGUUCGAGCGUCAUUACAACCCUCAAGCAAUGCUUGGUAUUGGGCCUCGCCGGUCACCCGGCGGGCUCUAAAAUCAGUGGCGGUGCCGUCGGGCUCUGAGCGUAGUAAUUCUUCUCGCUAUAGAGUCCCGGUGGAUGCUGGCCAACAACCCCCAAUUUUCUAUGGUUGACCUCGGAUCAGGUAGGGAUACCCGCUGAACUUAAGCAUAUCAAUAAGCGGAGGCU
rnacentral:misc_RNA from 1 species